AAUCAAUCUGCUUCUGGGUGAGGUGAUCUGCAACCGUAAAGCUGGUUCCUGACUGUAAAGCCGGUUCUUGAUGCCAACACCAAGGGUGGAGUGAAGUCCCAUGAAGCAACACUGAUGAACAAGACCAAGGUGGAGUGAGGUCCCAUGAUGCAACACUGAUGAACAAGACCAAGGUGGAGCCAAGUCCCACGAUGCAACACUGACAGGACCAAGGUGGAGCAAUUUCCCAUGAUGCAUCAUUGACAGGAUCAAGGUGGAGGAAAGUCCCACUGAUGGGCAGGAUCAAGGGUGGAGCGAAGUCCCACGAUAUAACACUGAUAGGCACUGGCAGAAAGAGUGUGGCUUCAUUGCUUGCCGAGUGUAGCUUAGAUCCCCACCCACAGGCACGACUUACCAUAUCCUUGCCCUGAAUCAUCAAGUCUGGGAGUGGAUAGGAUAUAAGGUAGAAAGAACUAAUAUACACAAAAGACGUCUUUUUCUGAUUAUAAAAAUGCACGCACGUCUUUCAAAAAGUCUAGAGGCAAGAGAUGACUUACUUAGUCAUGAUAUAUUUUAGGAAUCCGUUAGUCUCCGCAUCGGCUAGGAAGAGAUUCCUGGAAAUCCGAAAGUGAGACUGUCGGGAAGAGGUCUCAGGAGAAUAACAACAAUGAUGACCACUUGCUGCCGCUGUUCCAGGUGCAUUCCGUGGAUUACCUCACACGAUGAAUCCAUGAAUCACCAUAACUAGCCCCGGGGCCUGGUUCUCAGGCAAGGGCUGGAAAUUAUGAUGGGAAGGCUCACUUGGAAUGGUGGUUCAGAGUGGGUGGGCACCGGCAGUGUCCACUGGCAGCAAUGGUUCAAGAAGGCUCUUUUUCCUGUGCUCUGGCUUCCUGAAUGAGACGUUGCUGCCCUGACAUCCCCCUUCCUCCUUAGUCUUUCUACUCCAUCACUCUGAGAUGCAGUGUGAUCAGCUGCCUCAUGCUCCUGCUGCCAUGUCUUCUCCGCCAUGAUGGGCUGUGCGUUCAAACUACCAGGUACCUUGGGACAGCAAUGAGGGAAGAACCCAGUACACUCCCUGCC
ensembl:lncRNA